rnacentral:rRNA from 1 species
AAGAGACAGCAGCCGCCGCGGUAAUACAGAGGGUGCGAGCGUUAAUCGGAUUUACUGGGCGUAAAGCGUGCGUAGGCGGCUUCUUAAGUCGGAUGUGAAAUCCCUGAGCUUAACUUAGGAAUUGCAUUCGAUACUGGGAAGCUAGAGUAUGGGAGAGGAUGGUAGAAUUCCAGGUGUAGCGGUGAAAUGCGUAGAGAUCUGGAGGAAUACCGAUGGCGAAGGCAGCCAUCUGGCCUAAUACUGACGCUGAGGUACGAAAGCAUGGGGAGCAAACAGGAUUAGAUACCCCCGUAGUCCCUGUCUCUUAUAC